UACGUAGGGUGCAAGCGUUGUUCGGAAUUAUUGGGCGUAAAGAGCUCGUAGGCGGUCUGUCACGUCGGCUGUGAAAUCCCGAGGCUCAACCUCGGGUCUGCAGUCGAUACGGGCAAACUAGAGUAUUGCAGGGGAGACUGGAAUUCCUGGUGUAGCGGUGAAAUGCGCAGAUAUCAGGAGGAACACCGGUGGCGAAGGCGGGUCUCUGGGCAAUAACUGACGCUGAGGAGCGAAAGCGUGGGGAGCGAACAGG
rnacentral:rRNA from 1 species